rnacentral:rRNA from 1 species
UUAAGCGACUAAGCGUACACGGUGGAUGCCCUGGCAGUCAGAGGCGAUGAAGGACGUGCUAAUCUGCGAAAAGCGCCGGCGAGGUGAUAUGAACCUUUGACCCGGCGAUGUCCGAAUGGGGAAACCCAGUGUGUUCCGACACACUAUCGUUAACUGAAUACAUAGGUUAACGAGGCGAACCGGGGGAACUGAAACAUCUAAGUACCCCGAGGAAAAGAAAUCAACCGAGAUUCCCCCAGUAGCGGCGAGCGAACGGGGAGCAGCCCAGAGUCUGAAUCAGCUUGUGUGUUAGUGGAAGCGUCUGGAAAGUCGCACGGUACAGGGUGACAGUCCCGUACACGAAAGCACACAGGCUGUGAACUCGAAGAGUAGGGCGGGACACGUGGUAUCCUGUCUGAAUAUGGGGGGACCAUCCUCCAAGGCUAAAUACUCCUGACUGACCGAUAGUGAACCAGUACCGUGAGGGAAAGGCGAAAAGAACCCCGGCGAGGGGAGUGAAAAAGAACCUGAAACCGUGUACGUACAAGCAGUGGGAGCCUCUUUNUUUAUGGGGUGACUGCGUACCUUUUGUAUAAUGGGUCAGCGACUUAUAUUCUGUAGCAAGGUUAACCGUAUAGGGGAGCCGAAGGGAAACCGAGUCUUAACUGGGCGUUAAGUUGCAGGGUAUAGACCCGAAACCCGGUGAUCUAGCCAUGGGCAGGUUGAAGGUUGGGUAACACUAACUGGAGGACCGAACCGACUAAUGUUGAAAAAUUAGCGGAUGACUUGUGGCUGGGGGUGAAAGGCCAAUCAAACCGGGAGAUAGCUGGUUCUCCCCGAAAGCUAUUUAGGUAGCGCCUCGUGAACUCAUCUUCGGGGGUAGAGCACUGUUUCGGCUAGGGGGCCAUCCCGGCUUACCAACCCGAUGCAAACUACGAAUACCGAAGAAUGUUAUCACGGGAGACACACGGCGGGUGCUAACGUCCGUCGUGAAGAGGGAAACAACCCAGACCGCCAGCUAAGGUCCCAAAGUCAUGGUUAAGUGGGAAACGAUGUGGGAAGGCACAGACAGCCAGGAUGUUGGCUUAGAAGCAGCCAUCAUUUAAAGAAAGCGUAAUAGCUCACUGGUCGAGUCGGCCUGCGCGGAAGAUGUAACGGGGCUAAACCAUGCACCGAAGCUGCGGCAGCGACACUAUGUGUUGUUGGGUAGGGGAGCGUUCUGUAAGCCGUUGAAGGUGUCCUGUGAGGGGUGCUGGAGGUAUCAGAAGUGCGAAUGCUGACAUAAGUAACGAUAAAGCGGGUGAAAAGCCCGCUCGCCGGAAGACCAAGGGUUCCUGUCCAACGUUAAUCGGGGCAGGGUGAGUCGACCCCUAAGGCGAGGCCGAAAGGCGUAGUCGAUGGGAAACAGGUUAAUAUUCCUGUACUUGGUGUUACUGCGAAGGGGGGACGGAGAAGGCUAUGUUAGCCGGGCGACGGUUGUCCCGGUUUAAGCAUGUAGGCGGAGGUUCCAGGUAAAUCCGGUUCCUUGUUAACGCUGAGGUGUGAUGACGAGGCACUACGGUGCUGAAGUAACAAAUGCCCUGCUUCCAGGAAAAGCCUCUAAGCAUCAGGUAACAUCAAAUCGUACCCCAAACCGACACAGGUGGUCAGGUAGAGAAUACCAAGGCGCUUGAGAGAACUCGGGUGAAGGAACUAGGCAAAAUGGUGCCGUAACUUCGGGAGAAGGCACGCUGAUAUGUAGGUGAAGCCCCUGCGGGUGGAGCUGAAAUCAGUCGAAGAUACCAGCUGGCUGCAACUGUUUAUUAAAAACACAGCACUGUGCAAACACGAAAGUGGACGUAUACGGUGUGACGCCUGCCCGGUGCCGGAAGGUUAAUUGAUGGGGUUAGCGGUAACGCGAAGCUCUUGAUCGAAGCCCCGGUAAACGGCGGCCGUAACUAUAACGGUCCUAAGGUAGCGAAAUUCCUUGUCGGGUAAGUUCCGACCUGCACGAAUGGCGUAAUGAUGGCCAGGCUGUCUCCACCCGAGACUCAGUGAAAUUGAACUCGCUGUGAAGAUGCAGUGUACCCGCGGCAAGACGGAAAGACCCCGUGAACCUUUACUAUAGCUUGACACUGAACACUGGUCCUUGAUGUGUAGGAUAGGUGGGAGGCUUUGAAGCGUGGACGCCAGUCUGCGUGGAGCCAACCUUGAAAUACCACCCUUUAAUGGCUGGUGUUCUAACGUAGACCCGUAAUCCGGGUUGCGGACAGUGUCUGGUGGGUAGUUUGACUGGGGCGGUCUCCUCCCAAAGAGUAACGGAGGAGCACGAAGGUUAGCUAAUCCUGGUCGGACAUCAGGAGGUUAGUGCAAUGGCAUAAGCUAGCUUGACUGCGAGAGUGACGGCUCGAGCAGGUGCGAAAGCAGGUCAUAGUGAUCCGGUGGUUCUGAAUGGAAGGGCCAUCGCUCAACGGAUAAAAGGUACUCCGGGGAUAACAGGCUGAUACCGCCCAAGAGUUCAUAUCGACGGCGGUGUUUGGCACCUCGAUGUCGGCUCAUCACAUCCUGGGGCUGAAGUAGGUCCCAAGGGUAUGGCUGUUCGCCAUUUAAAGUGGUACGCGAGCUGGGUUUAGAACGUCGUGAGACAGUUCGGUCCCUAUCUGCCGUGGGCGCUGGAGAAUUGAGGGGGGCUGCUCCUAGUACGAGAGGACCGGAGUGGACGCAUCACUGGUGUUCGGGUUGUCAUGCCAAUGGCACUGCCCGGUAGCUAAAUGCGGAAGAGAUAAGUGCUGAAAGCAUCUAAGCACGAAACUUGCCCCGAGAUGAGUUCUCCCUGAGACUUUAAGUCUCCUGAAGGAACGUUGAAGACUACGACGUUGAUAGGUCGGGUGUGUAAGCGCAGCGAUGCGUUGAGCUAACCGAUACUAAUGAACCGUGAGGCUUAACCUU